GAGUUUGAUCCUGGCUCAGAAUGAACGCUGGCGGCGUGCUUAACACAUGCAAGUCGAACGAGAAAGCAGACUUCGGUCUGUGAGUAGAGUGGCGCACGGGUGAGUAACACGUGGAUAAUCUACCUUUGGAUUUGGGAUAACCUUUUGAAAGAAAGGCUAAUACCGGAUAAAGUCCCUGUAACUUUGGAUACAGAGAUGAAAGACAGCCUCUGAUUAAAGCUGUUGUUUGAAGAUGAGUCCGCGCACCAUUAGCUUGUUGGUGGGGUAAGAGCCUACCAAGGCGACGAUGGUUAGCUGGUCUGAGAGGAUGAUCAGCCACACUGGAACUGACACACGGUCCAGACUCCUACGGGAGGCAGCAGUGAGGGAUUUUGCGCAAUGGGGGAAACCCUGACGCAGCAACGCCGCGUGAGUGAAGAAGGCCUUUGGGUCGUAAAACUCUGUCGACAGGGAAGAAAUUGUCAUACAUUAAUAGUGUGUGGUAUUGACGGUACCUGUAGAGGAAGCAUCGGCUAACUCCGUGCCAGCAGCCGCGGUAAUACG
rnacentral:rRNA from 1 species